GUGCUCGCUUCAGCGGCACAUAUACUAAAAUUGGAACGAUACAGAGAAGAUAAGCAUGGCCCCUGCACAGGGAUGACAUGCAAAUUCAUGAAGCAUGCCAUAUUUUG
ensembl:snRNA U6 U6 spliceosomal RNA